rnacentral:tRNA from 1 species
UCCCUGGUGGCUCAGACGGUAAAGCAUCUGCCUGCAAUGCAGGAGACCCGGGUUUGAUCCCUGGGUCGGGAA